AUUUGAUUCACGCUUUGACUUAGGGGAAGAAAAUGCGUCUCUUACUAACCAAAGAAGGGAAGUGAAAGAAGGAAAUCCCCAAAUCUGUUUUAAGGCACUGUCGAACCCCUAGCCCCAAAUCAAGAAUAUCAAAUACCCGACCACAAUUGAUCGCUCGCUGAGCCAAACCUAAGAGUGAAGAGGUAGCACCCAUUUCGUUUAAUUACAUUGAUGACGGAGCCAUUGGUGUGUAGAUGGAAGGAAAACAUGAAGAUUGUGAAGAAGAUACGGAAUUCAUAGUUUCCGACCACGACUUUGAGUCCAAACAAGAUGACAUUGAAUAUGAUAGACAUGUAACUGAUGCGAUGGAAAUUGGAAUGGACAAUCGCUAAGAUGAAGUUCAGGUCUAACGAGAAGAGGGCAGUGAUAAUGAGUUGAAUGAAUUGGAACUACCAUCAUCAAGGGAACUACUGUCCCAAUGUUUAUCCGAUGAGGAUGGCAGCUGUCAUUUUCCUGAAUUCUCUAUUGAUCAAGAUAUGAAAAAUCCACAAUUGAGGUAGGGUAAAUAUCCGAUUCUGUUGCGGAGUUUCGUGAAGCGAUGCGAACAUACAGUGCAUUUAACGGGUACAACUUAAAGUUUAAGGCAAAUGAGGAAAGAUGAGUUCAAGGAAUUUGGAAAUUGGGCUACAAAUGGAGAAUAUGAGCUUCUAAAUUUGAUGUGUCCGAUAGGUUGCAAGUCAAAUCUUACACUUUGGAGCAUACUUUGUAGUUGAGAUUAGUUUAAUAGACAUUGCAAUUACAUAUUUUUGACACAUUGGUAUAUUGAGCAAUUUAAGACAAACCCGAAUUGGAAGAUCGAGCUUAUUUUGGCAACAGUGAAGAAGGAUCACCAAAUAGACAUUAGCAAGAAACGUAGCAUGAAAAAUGCGGAGAUACGCCAAAGAAGUUUUAGUAGAAAAUUUGCACGAACUGUUUAGGCAAUUGCAGUCUUAUGCAGCCGAGGUACUAAGUAUAAAUGUUGGCUCGACGGUCAUAAUUGCAUUACAGGAGCAUAUAUUUCAGGAGAUCUACACAUGCUUCAAUUGUUGUAAGAUAGGAUUGAGGGAUGGUUGUAGGAAGGUGUUAUGUAUUGAAGGUUGCCACUAAGGGGUGGUUUCACAAGGAUAAUGUUAACUGAAUUGGGGUUGAUGCUAAUGAUUGCAUCUAUCCCAUUGCAACUGCAGUUGUUUAGAAAGAAAAUACAGUUGCUUGGCGAUGGUUCUUAGCCUAUCUUUCAUAUGAUAUUAGGAUAGGAAAUUGGAGAGGUUGGACUCUUAUGACCGACAGGCAGAAGGGUCUACAAAAUGUCAUGGAUGAGUUGUCCCCUGAGGCUGAGCACAGGUUCUGUGUAAGGCAUAUGUAUACAAUUUUUUUCCGUCUAGGUUCAAGAGUAAAAUUCUGAAGAAUUACUUGUUGCGUGCUACAAAGUCAACCACCAUUGCUGACUACUGAAAUUGGAUGAAACAAAUUCGAUAACUUAGUGAGGAGGCAAACAAAUGGCUUAUGGAGAGCUAUUUACAAGAGUGGAGUAGAUCACAUUUCUCAGUUCAAUUGAAGAGUGACAUUUUCCUAAACAAUUUAUGCGAAGAUUUCAACAAGACUCUGUGGAUUGAUAGAGAAAAGAUGAUUUUGUUGAUGCUAACUUCACAACAUUUAACCUUCAUGAAUAGGAUUCGAAGGCAUCGAGACAUGAUGAGGUGCACGAACAAUUGUGUCAAAAGAUCAGGAAAAAAAUUACACAAAAUAGCAGAAAAAUUGCAUGAAUGCACAUUGCACAUUUUUGGUUAUCCAAAAUGACAAGUUGACUGCAGCUAUGGGACGUAUGUCGUCGACCUACAAGAAAGAACAUUUGCAUGUAGAGAAUGGAAGCUUACAUGCAUAUAUUGGAUCAUGCAAUGGCAGUAAUUGGGGAAUGCAAAAAUGAUCCAAAAGAAUUCAUUGACAAUUGUUACACGAUUGAUAUGUAUAUAAGGUGCUACAAUAGUACUAUGAAUCCAAUUAAUGGUAACGGUAUGCGGUUAUAGGCAUGGUUGCAUAUGCUUGAUAUCAUUCUAUCAUCAUCGAUUGUGCCACGAACGGGACAGAGACGGAUAAAUUGGAGAAAAGGAACAGAUGAAUUUGAUUGUCCUGCAAAAUGCGAUGAAGCUGAAAUAAAUGUAUUCUGAUGGUUUAUUUUUUGUAUGGUAGGAUUUAUUUGAAGAACAUCUAGAAUCAGUUAGCACACACUGUGACACACACGUUUUGACAUAGCUGUCGACUAAUGGGUUGGUAAACUUCUCUUUUUAUUAUUUUAAGUCAUGCUCCUGAUAUUUGUUGCAUAAUGUUAGCUAUCUAGCUGUGUAAUGUACGCAGUAUAUAGAGCAGACUAGUGGCAUAUAGGAGAUUACGAGCAUCGACAAAGCAUAAUCCCACAAAAGAACAAACUCACCAUUUCAUUCCAACCCCCAUUGUAAUACUUGAAGCUUGGUCAUAAGGUCUCAAAUUUGGUCCAAUAGCAACGAUAUGUUCUCAGUCAAUUCUUGUUGAUGUUCCAACCGAUGUUGUAAACUUUGAUGAGUUGUGGACGACUUGCAUGAAUCUGCCAAUAUGAGAUCGAGAAUGGCUAAAAAAUGACAAUGCGCAAAGCAGUCUACAUAAUCAAUGACACAACCCUUAGUGUGCACCCCAUAGCCACAAUAAAUUAUGCAAAUCUAAUUUCAGCUGUUUUUAGUCUUUGAAAAAAUUAUACAGAUCUAUUUUUUUCAGGAAAUUAUGUAGAUCUGGUUUUUUGUUGUGGGUUGACACUGAAAUUAUGCCGAUCCAAUUUUUUUGAGGAAUCUUUCAUGUUUUCCAUUUUUA